GAUUGCUGUAGUAUAUCAGCAACGUAGAGGUAGAAGAAGUGAGAAUUGAACAAGUUGGGAUAGCAUUUGUCAUUCCAAAAAUGCAAAUAUCUAGAAAGCCGGAGGAGCUGAACACGCAGCGCUGGCUUUAGUAUAGAGUUUUGGGGAAUUGGGGUAGUGGUUAGAGCCUCUGGAUCGAGUACACAGUAGGUGGCGGUAAUGCACAAAAUUGGUGCGAUCUGCCAAAAAAAGGGAAGAAGAAGAAGAAGAAGAAGUGAGAUUGGUUUGGUGCUACAGCAUGGUGGAUGGUGUCUGCAACCCACUCUUAAGAGUCCUGACUGGGAAUCUUUGGGGAUUUUCUGCUCAGUCAAUAAGGACUCUUUAGUCUUUCUGAACAAUACAAAGGUGGAUUAUUCACCAAAAAGGCCCCUUUACCUCAGGAAUUGUUUCCUUCAACUUCCUUGUGAUUUCAUGAGGCGCUAGGGGAAAUGUAUGCUGGUAUGCUUGGUCACUUGUUGGAUUAUACCUGACUGGUUCAACUCACAUCACUUCAAGAUUUUAACUCCCUGGACUUCAGCUGCAAGGACUGUCAACAUUGCGAACUAUCCAGAUAAGCUACCAUGUCACUUGGGAAGGGUGUUUAUUUACACAUGAUCCUUCCCAGUGGUUAAAUGAUCUGACUCCAGUGGUUACCUGCUUACGGGUGAUUUCAUAACCUGAUAUUGAUGAUUGAAUGUGUUCAUUGUUUUUCUCUUUUACAAAUUAUAUAUACUUUUGCAUCUA